CAUUACUGGAGGAGUAUUUGAGCAGUGGGCUGUCACUACCUCGAGGCCAGUGUGUUUUGGGAAGCUUUCCUGUGAAAACUGAAUGCCUGGACCAUCUCCCUAUGGAAGGAAUUACUGAUAAUGCACUGAGCAGGGGAAAACCUCCACAUGAUCCGUUCAAGUUCCCAUCGGAAAUCCAAGUGACAGUCCGCUCCAUUACUCCUCUGGGUCCAACAAAUGUCUACCUGGCCGCUCUCCAAUGAGUUCCCCCCUUCUCUGGAUUACCCCCACAUUGACUGGAUUCAAGGAUUGACAAGAGCCCCCUCAAACUUCCGGUUCACCAGUCCACUGAGUUCCAGAUCCUACUUCUGUUUACAUUACAUCAAAUAAACCUGUUAAACUUUU